rnacentral:rRNA from 1 species
GUUGGUGGCUAGAGCGGAGAGGGUCCACCCGAUCCCAUCUCGAACUCGGAAGUUAAGCUCUCCAGCGCCGAUGGUACUGCGACCGAGAGGUCGUGGGAGAGUAGGUCGCUGCCAACC